CCCAGGCGGUGGAUCCUUCCCGGUUUGGAGGAUUGUUCGCCCACAAGGGGAUUGGACCCGGCCCCAUAUCCUUCGGGAGGCAGCAGUAGGGAUCUUCCCCAAUGGGCGAAAGCCUGAUGGAGCAACGCCGCGUGUGUGAUGAAGGGUUUCGGCUCGUAAAACACUGUUGUAAGAGAAGAAUGACAUUGAGAGUAACUGUUCAAUGUGUGACGGUAUCUUACCAGAAAGGAACGGCUAAAUACGUGCCAGCAGCCGCGGUAAUACGUAUGUUCCAAGCGUUAUCCGGAUUUAUUGGGCGUAAAGCGAGCGCAGACGGUUAUUUAAGUCUGAAGUGAAAGCCCUCAGCUCAACUGAGGAAUUGCUUUGGAAACUGGAUGACUUGAGUGCAGUAGAGGAAAGUGGAACUCCAUGUGUAGCGGUGAAAUGCGUAGAUAUAUGGAAGAACACCAGUGGCGAAGGCGGCUUUCUGGACUGUAACUGACGUUGAGGCUCGAAAGUGUGGGUAGCAAACAGGAUUAGAUACCCUGGUAGUCCACACCGUAAACGAUGAGUGCUAGGUGUUUGAGGGUUUCCGCCCUUAAGUGCCGCAGCUAACGCAUUAAGCACUCCGCCUGGGGAGUACGACCGCAAGGUUGAAACUCAAAGGAAUUGACGGGGACCCGCACAAGCGGUGGAGCAUGUGGUUUAAUUCGAAGCAACGCGAAGAACCUUACCAGGUCUUGACAUCCCUUGACAACUCCAGAGAUGGAGCGUUCCCUUCGGGGACAAGGUGACAGGUGGUGCAUGGUUGUCGUCAGCUCGUGUCGUGAGAUGUUGGGUUAAGUCCCGCAACGAGCGCAACCCUUAUUACUAGUUGCCAGCAUUCAGUUGGGCACUCUAGUGAGACUGCCGGUGACAAACCGGAGGAAGGUGGGGAUGACGUCAAAUCAUCAUGCCCCUUAUGACCUGGGCUACACACGUGCUACAAUGGCGUAUACAACGAGUUGCCAACCCGCGAGGGUGAGCUAAUCUCUUAAAGUACGUCUCAGUUCGGAUUGUAGGCUGCAACUCGCCUACAUGAAGUCGGAAUCGCUAGUAAUCGCGGAUCAGCACGCCGCGGUGAAUACGUUCCCGGGUCUUGUACACACCGCCCGUCACACCAUGAGAGUUUGUAACACCCAAAGCCGGUGGGGUAACCUUCGGAGCCAGCCGU
rnacentral:rRNA from 1 species